rnacentral:lncRNA from 1 species
GUACAAGGAGUUAUGGUCGUUUGAAGUUGACCCUAAAAAUCUAUUUUGAUAGGCUGAAGUAAAACGAGUAUAACUCCUUACUCAGACGUUGGAUUUGGAUGAAACCAAUUGCAUUGGAAAGAAGACUCAAAGAUAUUUCUUUUCAUAGGUCGCAGCUCUCCCAGUUCAUUAUAUUAAGGGAGUUAUGAUCAUUCAAAGUUGACCCAAAAAUUCGACUGGC